ACCCGGGUUGCGGACAGUGUCUGGUGGGUAGUUUGACUGGGGCGGUCUCCUCCUAAAGAGUAACGGAGGAGCACGAAGGUUGGCUAAUCCUGGUCGGACAUCAGGAGGUUAGUGCAAUGGCAUAAGCCAGCUUGACUGCGAGCGUGACGGCGCGAGCAGGUGCGAAAGCAGGUCAUAGUGAUCCGGUGGUUCUGAAUGGAAGGGCCAUCGCUCAACGGAUAAAAGGUACUCCGGGGAUAACAGGCUGAUACCGCCCAAGAGUUCAUAUCGACGGCGGUGUUUGGCACCUCGAUGUCGGCUCAUCACAUCCUGGGGCUGAAGUAGGUCCCAAGGGUAUGGCUGUUCGCCAUUUAAAGUGGUACGCGAGCUGGGUUUAGAACGUCGUGAGACAGUUCGGUCCCUAUCUGCCGUGGGCGCUGGAGAACUGAGGGGGGCUGCUCCUAGUACGAGAGGACCGGAGUGGACGCAUCACUGGUGUUCGGGUUGUCAUGCCAAUGGCACUGCCCGGUAGCUAAAUGCGGAAGAGAUAAGUGCUGAAAGCAUCUAAGCACGAAACUUGCCCCGAGAUGAGUUCUCCCUGAGACUUAGAGUCUCCUGAAGGAACGUUGAAGACGACGACGUUGAUAGGCCGGGUGUGUAAGCGCAGCGAUGCGUUGAGCUAACCGGUACUAAUGAACCGUGAGG
rnacentral:rRNA from 1 species